CCUACGGGAGGCAGCAGUGGGGAAUAUUGGACAAUGGGCGAAAGCCUGAUCCAGCAAUGCCGCGUGAGUGAUGAAGGCCUUCGGGUCGUAAAGCUCUUUUACCAGGGAUGAUAAUGACAGUACCUGGAGAAUAAGCUCCGGCUAACUCCGUGCCAGCAGCCGCGGUAAUACGGAGGGAGCUAGCGUUGUUCGGAAUUACUGGGCGUAAAGAGUACGUAGGCGGUUAUUCAAGUCAGAGGUGAAAGCCCGGGGCUCAACCCCGGAACUGCCUUUGAAACUAGAUAACUAGAGUCUUGGAGAGGUUAGUGGAAUUCCGAGUGUAGAGGUGAAAUUCGUAGAUAUUCGGAAGAACACCAGUGGCGAAGGCGACUAACUGGACAAGUACUGACGCUGAGGUACGAAAGCGUGGGGAGCAAACAGGAUUAGAUACCCUGGUAGUCCACGCCGUAAACGAUGAUAACUAGUUGUUCGGUCACUUGGUGACUGAGUGACGCAGCUAACGCAUUAAGUUAUCCGCCUGGGGAGUACGGUCGCAAGAUUAAAACUCAAAGUAUAUAGCGNGNGAGAGCGACGACGACGACGAGAGGAG
rnacentral:rRNA from 1 species